rnacentral:rRNA from 1 species
CCUACGGGUGGCAGCAGUGGGGGAUAUUGCACAAUGGGGGAAACCCUGAUGCAGCGACGCCGCGUGUGGGAAGACGGUCCUCUGGAUUGUAAACCACUGUCCCCAGGGACGAAGAUGACGGUACCUGGGGAGGAAGCUCCGGCUAACUACGUGCCAGCAGCCGCGGUAAUACGUAGGGAGCGAGCGUUGUCCGGAAUUACUGGGUGUAAAGGGAGCGUAGGCGGGCGAGAAAGUUGAAUGUUAAAUCUACCGGCUUAACUGGUAGCUGCGUUCAAAACUUCUUGUCUUGAGUGAAGUAGAGGCAGGCGGAAUUCCUAGUGUAGCGGUGAAAUGCGUAGAUAUUAGGAGGAACACCAGUGGCGAAGGCGGCCUGCUGGGCUUUAACUGACGCUGAGGCUCGAAAGCGUGGGGAGCAAACAGGAUUAGAUACCCGGGUAGUC